CCAACAGGGAUUGCCUCAGUAACGGCGAGUGAAGCGGCAAUAGCUCAAAUUUGAAAGCUGGCGUCUUCGACGUCCGCGUUGUAAUUUGUAGAGGAUGUUUCGGCGAGGGCUCCUGCCUAAGUUCCCUGGAAUGGGACGUCACAGAGGGUGAGAAUCCCGUAUGUGGCGGGCGGCCUUAGCCAUGUGAAACUCCUUCGACGAGUCGAGUUGUUUGGGAAUGCAGCUCUAAAUGGGAGGUAAAUUUCUUCUAAAGCUAAAUACCGGCCAGAGACCGAUAGCGCACAAGUAGAGUGAUCGAAAGAUGAAAAGCACUUUGGAAAGAGAGUUAAAAAGUACGUGAAAUUGUUGAAAGGGAAGCGCUUGCAACCAGACUCGUUCGCAGUUGCUCAGCCCGCCUCUUGGUGGGUGUACUCUUCUGCGGUCGGGCCAGCAUCAGUUCGGGCGGUCGGAUAAAGGUGUCGGGAAUGUAGCACCCUUCGGGGUGUGUUAUAGCCCGGCGCGGAAUGCGGCCAGCCUGGACUGAGGAUCUCGCUUCGGCAAGGAUGCUGGCGUAAUGGUUGUAAGCGGCCCGUCUUGAAACACGGACCAAGGAGUCUAACAUCUAUGCGAGUGUUUGGGUGUCAAACCCAUGCGCGUAAUGAAAGUGAACGGAGGUGGGAACCCGCAAGGGUGCACCAUCGACCGAUCCUGAUGUCUUCGGAUGGAUUUGAGUAAGAGCAUAGCUGUUGGGACCCGAAAGAUGGUGAACUAUGCCUGAAUAGGGUGAAGCCAGAGGAAACUCUGGUGGAGGCUCGCAGCGGUUCUGACGUGCAAAUCGAUCGUCAAAUUUGGGUAUAGGGGCGAAAGACUAAUCGA
rnacentral:rRNA from 1 species